rnacentral:tRNA from 1 species
GGGUCCGCGGUUGGCGCCCAACCCUGCCCUCCGAAGGCAGAGGUCGUAGGUUCGAAUCCUACCGGGUGCGCCA